rnacentral:tRNA from 1 species
GAGAAAUUAGUUAAAAUAUAACCUAAGAAUGUCAAACUUAAAUAACUUAAUUACAGAGUAUUUUUCA